UAAUACAGAGGUCCCAAGCGUUGUUCGGAUUCACUGGGCGUAAAGGGUGCGUAGGUGGUCGGGUAAGUCUGAGGUGAAAUCUCCGAGCUCAACUCGGAAACUGCCUUGGAAACUACUCGGCUUGAGGGUUGGAGGGGGGACUGGAAUUCUCGGUGUAGCAGUGAAAUGCGUAGAUAUCGAGAGGAACACCAGUGGCGAAGGCGAGUCCCUGGACAACUCCUGACGCUGAGGCACGAAAGCUAGGGGAGCAAACAGGAUUAGAUACCCUGGUAGUCCUAGCCGUAAACGGUGCACGUUUGCUGUAAGAGGAAUCGACCCCUUUUGUGGCGAAGCUAACGCGUUAAACGUGCCGCCUGGGAAGUACGGUCGCAAGAUUA
rnacentral:rRNA from 1 species